rnacentral:lncRNA from 1 species
GGAGAGCUACAGGGACCGCGGGUGAUACUGCCGGUCAAGCGCGUGUCCUGGUGUGACAGCCUUGAGAAAGCCACAGUCUAGGCGACCGGAGUCGGGUGUCGCAUCACUCUCUGCGCUCACUCCAGCGAAUACAAUGGACAGGAGACGCCCUUGUGUGUGUGUGUGUGUGUGUGUGUGUGUGUGUGUGUAUGUGUGUGCAGCGCAGGCCUCAGAUGUGGAAUCUCUAAAGUGUGUGUGCUCCACCAGAUGGGGAAACAGUUCGAAGUCCCUCUACUCUGGGGCCAUCAAUGGCUGGGGAGUUCUUUUAAGAGACUUGCAGGAAAAAC